AUUGAACGCUGGCGGCAUGCCUUACACAUGCAAGUCGAACGGCAGCACGGGUGCUUGCACCUGGUGGCGAGUGGCGAACGGGUGAGUAAUACAUCGGAACAUGUCCUGUAGUGGGGGAUAGCCCGGCGAAAGCCGGAUUAAUACCGCAUACGAUCUACGGAUGAAAGCGGGGGACCUUCGGGCCUCGCGCUAUAGGGUUGGCCGAUGGCUGAUUAGCUAGUUGGUGGGGUAAAGGCCUACCAAGGCGACGAUCAGUAGCUGGUCUGAGAGGACGACCAGCCACACUGGGACUGAGACACGGCCCAGACUCCUACGGGAGGCAGCGGUGGGGAAUUUUGGACAAUGGGCGAAAGCCUGAUCCAGCAAUGCCGCGUGUGUGAAGAAGGCCUUCGGGUUGUAAAGCACUUUUGUCCGGAAAGAAAUCCUUGGCCCUAAUACGGUCGGGGGAUGACGGUACCGGAAGAAUAAGCACCGGCUAACUACGUG
rnacentral:rRNA from 1 species